rnacentral:rRNA from 1 species
CAUGGUUCUGAGGUAAAAGAUUUAUCGGUUUGGGGUGGGCUCGCGUCCGAUUAGGUAGUUGGUGAGGUAACGGCCCACCAAGCCGACGAUCGGUAGCCGACCUGAGAGGGUGAUCGGCCACAUUGGGACUGAGACACGGCCCAAACUCCUACGGGAGGCAGCAGUGGGGAAUAUUGGGCAAUGGAGGAAACUCUGACCCAGCAACGCCGCGUGGAGGAAGAAGGUUUUCGGAUCGUAAACUCCUGUCCUUGGAGACGAGUAGAAGACGGUAUCCAAGGAGGAAGCCCCGGCUAACUACGUGCCAGCAGCCGCGGUAAUACGUAGGGGGCAAGCGUUGUCCGGAAUAAUUGGGCGUAAAGGGCGCGUAGGCGGCUCGGUAAGUCUGGAGUGAAAGUCCUGCUUUUAAGGUGGGAAUUGCUUUGGAUACUGUCGGGCUUGAGUGCAGGAGAGGUUAGUGGAAUU